GACGAACGCUGGCGGCGUGCUUAACACAUGCAAGUCGAACGGAAAGGCCCUGCUUUUGUGGGGUGCUCGAGUGGCGAACGGGUGAGUAACACGUGAGUAACCUGCUCUUGACUUUGGGAUAACUUCAGGAAACUGGGGCUAAUACCGGAGAGGAGCUCCUGCUGCAGGGUGGGGGUUGGAAAGUUUCGGCGGUUGGGGAGGGACUCGGGGCUUAUCAGCUUGUUGGUGGGGUAGUGGCUUACCAAGGCUUGGACGGGUGGCCGGCCUGGGAGGGUGACCGGCCAAAUUGGGACUGGGAUACGGCCCAGACUCCUCCGGGAGGCAGCAGUGGGGAAUAUUGCACAAUGGGCGGAAGCCUGAUGCAGCAACGCCGCGUGCGGGAUGACGGCCUUCGGGUUGUAAACCGCUUUCGCCUGUGACGAAGCGUGAGUGACGGUAAUGGGUAAAGAAGCACCGGCUAACUACGUG
rnacentral:rRNA from 1 species